GCCGGCGGCUGAGCGCGGGUACCGCCGACCCCCGCUGUUAGCGGCUCUGUUACUGCCCGUGUGGGCGCGAACGCUGAAGUCUGCCCUGGAAAAACGUCCGUCGUCGGGUUUUAGGUCUGGCCUCGAUCUCUCGCCGCAUAGAAUAGGACGUGGUUUUGUCUGUCUGAAUUAUGCUUCUGUAGUGUUAUAAAAGGGCUCUGAGCUUAUCUCGGCAAAGUAAUCCUAGUCCUCUGACCUGCAAAAUGGAGCCAUUGCCAUAGAAAGGCCAGAUUUUGCAAGAGCUGCCCAAAGGCAAGCCGUGGAUCUCGGUGUCGUGUCUAAGCUGAUGCAGAGCAGCACCGCUGGCCCGUGUGAUGGUGAUGAUGCUGGUGUAAGUGAAUCUCCCAGCAUGCACGUGCUCUCCCACCAUUCCCACAAGCGGCACAGCUGCAGCGCUGGGAGCGGUCGUUGGGAAUGGUGGGAGACCGACCUGGUGUGGCUGUAGAAGGAGGCAGAUGCGGGGCUGUCUGUCACCCUGGGUGAACCUCCUUGCAUAACUGCUGUGGCUGCGCUCAGACGGUGCGGGGAGCGAUGAGAAGCGAGGAGUGUGGCACCUGGCUGUAAUUCAUCUCAUGGGGAGAAAAGGCGUUGGAAGUUUUUCCCACAAAGAUGACAAACUGGGGAAAGCCCUUACAUAUAAGGAUGAUACAGUUCUGUGUUCUUUGUUUGCCGAGUUCACCUGAGGAUCUAAAUUUACAAGAGAUAAAAUGCUGCAAGUAUUCACCAAUGGAAAGAGUGUACAGCUUGUUUGUGUUAUGCACUUCCGUAUGACUGUAUUAUUUGGUGGAAGGAAGUAAUAAAAUAAUGAAUGCCAAUUCAGAAUGUUGGAAAUCUUCACAGUCUGAGUGAGUUCUACAUUGAGAUGUUUUCCAUAACGCUGCACUGAAGGCAUGGAUUUGCUGAGGUGGGGGAUGGGGCAUCGGAGUCUCUCCCUCCGCUGUGCAGUGCCUGCAGCCCUGGGCUGACUGCGGCCGUCGCACUCCUGUUCUCUGCAUCGCUUUGUUCUGGUUUAGCUCUGCUGGCUUUAAAUGGAGCUGUUGAUAGGCACAGGGUGAAUGGGUAGCAGAGAUGAAUCUGAUCAUCUGGACACAUGACUUUGGUUUGUUUUUUGCUAUGGAUGGUGUCAUUUAGGCAAGAAGAAAGAGUUCUGGUGUGAAAGUGUUUUCUGAGGCGAUGUUACUGCCUAAAUAUUUAAGGCUGGGCUAUAUUCUUGGAAAUAAAAAGAAAGGAGAAAGACAAAAUACAACUACCAGUUUUAUCACAGAAA